rnacentral:rRNA from 1 species
GUCCCUGGUCAUACCGUACUGGACAUGCCUGAAGCUAAGCAGGGUUGGACCCGGUUAGUACUUGGAUGGGAGACCCUAUCUGCAAAGAUAUAUCUUUGUGUACAUGCACAUGCAGGUGUCCAUGGAGG